GUCUCGUUGGUGUAGUUGGUUAUCACGUGGGUCUCAUAGUACAUCCUAUGACUGUUCAAUGUAGCAGAUAUCCCAAGGCCGCCAGUUCGAGUCUGGCACGGGACA